rnacentral:rRNA from 1 species
GAGUUUGAUCCUGGCUCAGGAUGAACGCUAGCGGGAGGCUUAAUACAUGCAAGUCGAACGGUAACAGGGACGAACUUCGGUUAGUCUGCUGACGAGUGGCGCACGGGUGAGUAACGCGUACGCAAUCUACCUUCAAGUGAGGAAUAGCCCUGGGAAACUGGGAUUAAUACCACAUGUGAUUAUGAUCUGGCAUCGGAUUAUGAUUAAAGUUUAGGCGCUUGAAGAUGAGCGUGCGUCCUAUUAGCUAGUUGGUGAGGUAACGGCUCACCAAGGCGACGAUAGGUAGGGGGCGUGAGAGCGUGGCCCCCCACACGGGUACUGAGACACGGACCCGACUCCUACGGGAGGCAGCAGCAAGGAAUAUUGGACAAUGGGCGCAAGCCUGAUCCAGCUAUCCCGCGUGCAGGAUGAAUGCCCUAUGGGUUGUAAACUGCUUUUAUAAGGGAAGAACGUUAUGCAUUUAUGUGUACUUGACGGUACCUUAUGAAUAAGCACCGGCUAACUCCGUGCCAGCAGCCGCGGUAAUA